AUUGGUUAGAGCGCGCGCUUGAUAAGCGUGAGGUCGGAGGUUCAAGUCCUCCCAGGCCCACCAUUCCUUUCGACACGAAGGUUAUCAGGGGCCGUAGCUCAGCUGGGAGAGCGCCUGCUUUGCAAGCAGGAUGUCGUCGGUUCGAUCCCGUCCGGCUCCACCAACCAUCUUCUGCGAAGAUGGGGCGUGUCGAGUAGAGACGGUGAGAAAAAAGUCAUUCGAAAAAGAGUUUGCGUCGAGCCCUGUGCUCUGCGCCUGUUCUGUUUGACAUCGUAAAGAGAAGAUUUGUUCGAACUUCAUGAGCCGCAAGGUCUCAUGAUUUGUCGCAAGGGACGCUCAAUCCCUUGCUUAUGAUGGGUUUGCCUAACCGCGCCCUCGAACGGAUCUCGAGAAGCUGGUCUUUUUGUGCCAAUUCCAUUGAAGCGGGUCCCGCACAGGAUCUGGUUCGAGGCGACGAUCUCUUCGAGAUCGCGCUUAGCUAACCUCGCAAGAGAGAGGCUGAAGCGACGAUUUCUUCGAAAUCGCGCCUGCGUGAUGGGUAUUGGCAAUGAGAACGAUCAAGUGUCUUAAGGGCAAUUGGUGGAUGCCUUGGCAUGCACAGGCGAUGAAGGACGUGAUACGCUGCGAUAAGCUACGGGAGGUG
rnacentral:misc_RNA from 1 species